UCUUUUCGAUUUUUUAAUGUAAAGUCUGGCCUGCCCAAUGAUUUUUUUUUUAAUGGCCGCAGUAAUUUGACUGUGCGAAGGUAGCAUAAUAAUUAGUUUUUUAAUUGAAGACUGGAAUGAAAGGUUUGACGUAUGGAAAGCUGUCUCUAAAUUUAUUUUAUAAUUUUAUCUUUAGGUUAAAAAGCCUAAAUUUUAGUAAGGGACGAAAAGACCCCAUCAAGUUUUAUAUUUGUUUUUAUUAAUUUUCUUUUUUAAUUCUAUAUAAUAUUUUACUGGGGCGGUAGGUUAAAUUUAACAUAAUUAAGUUUAAUAAAUUAUAUUUUAUAUUUCUAUCUUUUUUUAAAAUUAAAUUAAAUUACUGUGGGGGUAACAGCGUAAUUAAUUUUUGGAGUUCAAAUCGAAAUAUUAGAUUGCGACCUCGAUGUUGGAUUAAUAUAACUUUAAAGGUGAAGUUGCUUUUAAAGUAAGUCUGUUCGACUUUUAAAAUAUUACA
rnacentral:rRNA from 1 species